UUUUACCUGAAAGGAAACAUCUCUCGCAUGAGGAAGAAAAGAGGCCAGAUCCAUUCAACCAAGGCACCAUUCAGAAAAUGAGCAGUGUUUGGAAUUCAUUGCAGCACACACCUUCCCCUGCAGAGUGCAGGGAAGAGUUGCAGUCUUGUCAAGUUAGGUCAGGAGAUUGAAGUCAUCACUGCAGAAGCCGUAGCACACAGCCCAGAGCUCUGACCUGGCCGCCCUGUUGUGCAAUAACUAGUGCAAGUGGGCAAAGUAGCCCAGAGCUACGAAAAGGAAAAAGGAGCAAGGAGAGGAGGAUUUUCUAUGCUUCACUGCAGAAAACACAAGAAAUUCCUCCUCUUAUCAUCUAGCAAACAGGUACUGGUGCCAGGGCGUUACACUGGGUGCAAGAUAUGCAAUGAUGUGCAGAAAAGAUGCGGUCUGUGCUCACAUGGAGCUUCCGGUCUUUAACAGUCAGUCAGAGCUGUGUCAUUCCAGAUAUGCCUUGCACAGAAGUUGCCAUGGUUCCACAUCCCUAAACCAAUGAGACACAAUGGCAAGUUUUUCUUCGUACCUCUGUUUCAACCACCAGCUUAACUCCCCUUCCUGAGUGCAGCUAAAGCUGUGGCCAUCAGGCAGGUGAAGCGUGGUGCCUCCUGUUCAACCAACAGGAAUGACUGAAGCAGGAUGGGGGUGGGACCAGCAGUAAGAAGCCCAGAGCAAUGACCAGAGCUCCCUUUCUGGGGAGAGCUGGGCUGGAGAAAAUCUAUGCACUGCUGAUCUCCUAAGGAGAGAAUUUCAAGGAUGAAAAGAUGGUGUCCCACAGGCCUGAGGCUGUACAGAUCUAGCUUCUGCCAUUGAGGACAGCAGGGACAAUAAAGCUUCCCAGAUCCCCUUUCAACCUGCCAGCUGGCAUGUCACCUACCAAAGGGGAAGCCAAUCCUAGACCUUGCACUACUUGAGAGAUUGCAAAAGCAUCCAGUUAGCUCAGUCUGGACCCCAGUGAUAAAUAGACUCACGAGUGAGCUAAGGAAAGGAACUGGUCCAUGUGAAAGGAACCGGCCCAAGGAAAAGCAGGAAUCUAUGAAGGCAUUCAAUAACUUGGAACAAAAAGGAACAAGAAAGUAAAAUUGAA